rnacentral:rRNA from 1 species
GCAAGUCGAGCGGAGCGAGGGUGCUUGCACCUUAGCUUAGCGGCGGACGGGUGAGUAAUGCUUAGGAAUCUGCCUAUUAGUGGGGGACAACAUUCCGAAAGGGAUGCUAAUACCGCAUACGCCCUACGGGGGAAAGCAGGGGAUCUUCGGACCUUGCGCUAAUAGAUGAGCCUAAGUCGGAUUAGCUAGUUGGUGGGGUAAAGGCCUACCAAGGCGACGAUCUGUAGCGGGUCUGAGAGGAUGAUCCGCCACACUGGGACUGAGACACGGCCCAGACUCCUACGGGAGGCAGCAGUGGGGAAUAUUGGACAAUGGGGGGAACCCUGAUCCAGCCAUGCCGCGUGUGUGAAGAAGGCCUUUUGGUUGUAAAGCACUUUAAGCGAGGAGGAGGCGCUCUAGGCUAAUACCCUAGAUGCGUGGACGUUACUCGCAGAAUAAGCACCGGCUAACUCUGUGCCAGCAGCCGCGGUAAUACAGAGGGUGCGAGCGUUAAUCGGAUUUACUGGGCGUAAAGCGCGCGUAGGUGGCUAAUUAAGUCAAAUGUGAAAUCCCCGAGCUUAACUUGGGAAUUGCAUUCGAUACUGGUUAGCUAGAGUAUGGGAGAGGGAUGGUAGAAUUCCAGGUGUAGCGGUGAAAUGCGUAGAGAUCUGGAGGAAUACCCGAUGGCGAAGGCAGCCAUCUGGCCUAAUACUGACACUGAGGUGCGAAAGCAUGGGGAGCAAACAGGAUUAGAUACCCUGGUAGUCCAUGCCGUAGACGAUGUCUACUAGCCGUUGGGGCCUUUGAGGCUUUAGUGGCGCAGCUAACGCGAUAAGUAGACCGCCUGGGGAGUACGGUCGCAAGACUAAAACUCAAAUGAAUUGACGGGGGCCCGCACAAGCGGUGGAGCAUGUGGUUUAAUUCGAUGCAACGCGAAGAACCUUACCUGGCCUUG